rnacentral:rRNA from 1 species
AUGGUUCUGCUAUCACUAAGAGAUGGUCCCGCGGUGCAUUAGUUAGUUGGUGAGGUAAUGGCUCACCAAGACGAUGAUGCAUAGCCGAGUUGAGAGACUGAUCGGCCACAAUGGGACUGAGACACGGCCCAUACUCCUACGGGAGGCAGCAGUAGGGAAUCUUCCACAAUGGGCGAAAGCCUGAUGGAGCAACGCCGCGUGUGUGAUGAAGGGUUUCGGCUCGUAAAACACUGUUGUAAGAGAAGAAUGACAUUGAGAGUAACUGUUCAAUGUGUGACGGUAUCUUACCAGAAAGGAACGGCUAAAUACGUGCCAGCAGCCGCGGUAAUACGUAUGUUCCAAGCGUUAUCCGGAUUUAUUGGGCGUAAAGCGAGCGCAGACGGUUAUUUAAGUCUGAAGUGAAAGCCCUCAGCUCAACUGAGGAAUUGCUUUGGAAACUGGAUGACUUGAGUGCAGUAGAGGAAAGUGGAACUCCAUGUGUAGCGGUGAAAUGCGUAGAUAUAUGGAAGAACACCAGUGGCGAAGGCGGCUUUCUGGACUGUAACUGACGUUGAGGCUCGAAAGUGUGGGUAGCAAACAGGAUUAGAUACCCUGGUAGUCCACACCGUAAACGAUGAGUGCUAGGUGUUUGAGGGUUUCCGCCCUUAAGUGCCGCAGCUAACGCAUUAAGCACUCCGCCUGGGGAGUACGACCGCAAGGUUGAAACUCAAAGGAAUUUGACGGGGACCCGCACAAGCGGUGGAGCAUGUGGUUUAAUUCGAAGCAACGCGAAGAACCUUACCAGGUCUUGACAUCCCUUGACAACUCCAGAGAUGGAGCGUUCCCUUCGGGGACAAGGUGACAGGUGGUGCAUGGUUGUCGUCAGCUCGUGUCGUGAGAUGUUGGGUUAAGUCCCGCAACGAGCGCAACCCUUAUUACUAGUUGCCAGCAUUUAGUUGGGCACUCUAGUGAGACUGCCGGUGACAAACCGGAGGAAGGUGGGGAUGACGUCAAAUCAUCAUGCCCCUUAUGACCUGGGCUACACACGUGCUACAAUGGCGUAUACAACGAGUUGCCAACCCGCGAGGGUGAGCUAAUCUCUUAAAGUACGUCUCAGUUCGGAUUGUAGGCUGCAACUCGCCUACAUGAAGUCGGAAUCGCUAGUAAUCGCGGAUCAGCACGCCGCGGUGAAUACGUUCCCGGGUCUUGUACACACCGCCCGUCACACCAUGAGAGUUUGUAACACCCAAAGCCGGUGGGGUAACCUUCGGGAGCCAGCCGUCUAAGGUGGGACAGAUGAUUAGGGUGAAGUCGUAACAAGGUAACCAUAGGGG